rnacentral:rRNA from 1 species
UACAGAGGGGGCAAGCGUUAUUCGGAAUUAUUGGGCGUAAAGGGCGCGUAGGCGGCCUGGCAAGUGGAUGGUGAAAUCCCUCGGCUUAACCGAGGAACUGCCAUCCAGACUGCUUGGCUUGAGACCGGGAGAGGUGAGUGGAAUUCCCAGUGUAGCGGUGAAAUGCGUAGAUAUUGGGAGGAACACCAGUGGCGAAGGCGGCUCACUGGACCGGUACUGACGCUGAGGCGCGAAAGCGUGGGAGCAAACGGG